GAUGAACGCUAGCGACAGGCUUAACACAUGCAAGUCGAGGGGCAGCACAAGGUAGCUUGCUAUCUGGGUGGCGACCGGCGCACGGGUGCGUAACGCGUAUGCAACUUGCCCUAUACAGGAGGAUAACCCGUCGAAAGACGGACUAAUACUGCGUAUGCUCACAACUUGGCAUCAAGUGGUGAGGAAAGAAAUUCGGUAUAGGAUAGGCAUGCGUCCCAUUAGCUUGUUGGUGAGGUAACGGCUCACCAAGGCAACGAUGGGUAGGGGAACUGAGAGGUUUAUCCCCCACACUGGUACUGAGACACGGACCAGACUCCUACGGGAGGCAGCAGUGAGGAAUAUUGGUCAAUGGGCGCGAGCCUGAACCAGCCAAGUCGCGUGAAGGAUGACUGUCUUAUGGAUUGUAAACUUCUUUUAUACGGGAAUAACAAGAGUCACGUGUGACUCCCUGCAUGUACCGUAUGAAUAAGCAUCGGCUAACUCCGUG
rnacentral:rRNA from 1 species